AUGUCCCGAGGCGCUGGUGCACGGGUGGUGUCGCCCACGCUCUGUACCUAUUCCAUCCUCAUGGACUGCUGCUGCCGCGCAGGCCGCCCGGACUUGGUGGUUGCCUUCUUCGGUCGCCUCAUCAGGUUGGGGCUGCGCUUGGAGGUCAUCUCCGUCAGCAAUCUCCUCAAGGGGCUCUGCCAGGCCAAGCGUACAAAUGAGGCGGUGGCCUUGCUGCUCCACGGGACACCUGAACUGGACUGUGUGCCUAAUGUCUUCUCGUACAGCAUCGUAAUCAACGGCUGUUUUAAAGAAGGUGAAGUAGACAAAGCGUGCAAUCUCUUCCAUGGGAUGAUCCAACUGGGAGUUCAACCUAAUGUGGUCAUCUACACCUCAAUUAUCGAUGCACUAAGCAAGUGCAGAGCCAUGGACAAGGCAGAAGUGGUCCUUCAGCAAAUGGUUGAUCAAGGCAUUGAACCCAACAUCAGGACAUAUACUACCCUGAUACAUGGAUAUUCCGCUUCGGGUCAGUGGAAGGCGGCAGUUAGAGUAUUCAAGGAAAUGGCAAGUGUUGGUGUUCUACCAAAUGCUGUCACUUUGAACUCAUUUAUGGAUUCACUUUGCAAGCAUAGAAGGACAAAGGAAGCUAGAGUUAUUUUUGACUCCAUGGCUGCAAAGGGCCAAAAACCUGAUGUCGUCUCCUACUCUACUAUGCUUAGCGGGUAUGCGAAAGAAGGAUGCUUCGAUGAUAUGACUUGUCUCUUCAAUUCGAUGCUACAGAAUGGUGUUGUACCUAACCACCAUAUUUUCAACAUACUGAUCAAUGCAUAUGCUAAACGUGGACUGAUGGAUGCGGCUAUGCACAUGUUCGAAGUAAUGAGGCAACAAGGAGUAAACCCAGAUGUAUUUAGCUAUCAAAUUGUAAUGGAUUCACUUUGCAAAAUGGGUAGGAUGGAUGCUGCUCUGGACAAAUUUAAUCAGAUGGUCAAUCAAGGAGUUUCACCUGACAUAGUUGUUUACCGAUGCCUAGUUCUGGGUUCUUGCUCUCAUGGUGAUUUUGAGAAAGCCAAGGAAUUGAUUUCUGAAGCAGUUAAUAGAGGUCUGUGUUCUAACAGUGUGUUCUUCUAUCCUGUAAUAAACGACCUGUGCAAAGAAGGAAAGGUGAAGGAGGCACAGGAUAUGUUUGACUUCAUUGUAGGUAUUGGUCAGCGGCCUGAUGUGAUUAUGUACAAUUCACUGAUGGAUGGAUAUUGCCUUGUUGGCAAAGUGGAGGAAGCACUGAGAGUACUUGAUGCUAUGAAGUCUGUUGGCCUCCAACCUGAUGCUUUUACGUACGGUAUACUUCUUAAUGGCUACUGUAAAAUUGGCAAGAUCGCCGAUGGAUUGAGUCUUUUCAGGGAAAUGUCACUCAACGGGGUUAAGCCCAUGACUAUUAUGUACAACAUUAUACUCCAUGGGUUGUUUUUCUCCGGGAGAACAGUUUCUGCAAAGGAAAUAUUCCAUACGAUGAAUGCAAGUGGCAUACCAGUGGGCGUUGACACAUACAACAUAGUUCUUAGUGGACUUUGUAAAAAUAAUUGCACUGAUGAAGCAAUAGAGCUGUUCAAGAAAUUACGUGCUAUGAACGUGAAGAUUAAUGUCAUAAUACUCAAUACCAUGAUUUCUGCAAUGUUUAAAACUAGGAGAAUUGAAGAAGCCAAGGAUUUGUUUGCUACUAUAUCAGCCAUUGGGUUGGUGCCUUCUGUUGUGACUUACAGUGUAAUGAUGACGAAUUUCAUAAAAGAAGGGUUGUUGGCAGAGGCUGAUGAUAUGUUUUUAGCAAUGGAGAAGGCUAGCUGUGCUCCCAACUCCAGUCUGCUAAAUCAAGUGGUCAGGGCGUUGCUGGAAAAAGGUGCAGUUGUAAAGGCUGCAACUUAUCUCGCUAAACUUGAUGCUAAACAGCUGUCAGUUGAAGCUUCAACGAUUUCGUUAAUAGUAUCUCUCUUCUCAGGGGAAGGGAAACUAAGGGAGCACGUAGAGUUGCUUCCAGUAAAGUACCAGCCUCCUGAGAGUUCGGCUGACAAUUGA
rnacentral:rRNA from 1 species